rnacentral:rRNA from 1 species
AGCAGCCGCGGUAAUUCCAGCUCCAAUAGCGUAUAUUAAAGUUGUUGCAGUUAAAAAGCUCGUAGUUGAAUUUCGGGAUCAAUAUUUCGGUCAUGCCGUUGGUAUGCACUGUUAUCAUUGAUUUCUCACCUUCUAAAGAACCGUAAUGCCAUUAAUUUGGUGUUACGGGGAAUUAGGACUGUUACCUUGAAAAAAUUAGAGUGUUUAAAGCAGGCUCACGCUUGAAUACAUUAGCAUGGAAUAAUGAAAUAGGACAUCCGAUUCUAUUUUGUUGGUUUCUAGGAUCGAUGUAAUGAUUAAUAGGGAUAGUUGGGGGCAUUAGUAUUCAAUUGUCAGAGGUGAAAUUCUUGGAUUUAUUGAAGACUAACUACUGCGAAAGCAUUUGCCAAGGAUGUUUUCAUUAAUCAAGAACGAAAGUUAGGGGAUCGAAGACGAUCAGAUACCGUCGUAGUCUUAACCAUAAACUAUGCCGACUAGGGAUCGGAUGAUGUUAAUUUUUUAAUGACUC